GUGGGCAUCGUCACCGUGCAGCCGACCACCGUGCCGGUCAUCGUCGAUCUGCCGGGCCGCACCAGCGCGUUCCUCAACGCGCAAGUGCGUGCGCGGGUGGACGGUAUCGUGCUGCGCCGCGAAUUCACCGAAGGCGAUGACGUCAAGCAGGGCCAGCGCCUGUACAAGAUCGA
rfam:Candidatus Burkholderia humilis strain TZHbot5 BHTMctg237, whole genome shotgun sequence.